rnacentral:lncRNA from 1 species
AUAUAAUGAUUUUUAUUUUUUUCAUCAUAGCUGGUUUACAGUGUCCUUUCAAUUUUCUACUGUACAGCAUGGAGACCCCCGUCACACAUACAUGUAUACAUUCUUUUUUCUCACAUUAUCAUGCUCCAACAUAAGUGACUAGGCAUAGUUCCCAGUGCUACACAGCAGGAUCUCCUUGCUAAUCCAUUCCAUUUACUCCAAGACAUGGAAGCAACCUAAGUGUCCAUCAACAGAUGAAUGGAUAAAGGAAAGACAGUGCUUAUAUACACAGUGGAAUAUUACUCAGCCAUAAAAAAUGAAAUAAUGCCAUUUGCAGCAACAUGGAUGAACCUAGACAUUAUCAUACUAAGUGACGUAAGUCAGACAAAGACCAUGUGGUAUCACUUAUAUGUGGAAUCUAAAAAAAAUGAUAGAAAAGAACUUAUUUACAGAACAUAAACAGACUCACAGACAUAGAAAACAAACUUAUGACUACCAAAGAGGAAAGGGUGGGGAGAGAUAAAUUAGGAUUUGGGAUUAGCAGAUACAAACAACUAUAUGUAAAACAGAUAAAUAACAAGGUCCUACUACUGCACAGUACAGGGAACUAUAUUCAAUGUCUUAUAAUAAUCUAUAAUGGAAAAGAAUCUGAAAAAUAAUACAUAUAUAUAUGCUAUACAUAUAACAAUCACUUCGCUAUAUGCUGGAAACAUUGUAAAUCAACUACACUUCAAUAAAAAAAUAAAUACUAUUUACGGUUACACCAAAAAAUGAAAUAUUUAAAAACAAAUCUUAAUGAAUACUAGAUUACAUGUGCAAACAUGCAUAACUCUGAUAAAAGAAAUCAAAGGAGCCCUAAAUAAACGGAGAGAUCAUCCAUGCUCAUAGACCAGAAGAUUCAGUAUUGUUAAGAUGUCAGUGUUCCCAGCUUGAUCUAUACAUUAAAUGCAACCAAGGCCAAGCAAGCUACUUUGUAGGUAUUGACAAACUGAUCCUAAAGAUUGCAGAGAAGGACAGAAGGCUUAGAAUAGCCAAUACAAUGCUGAGACAUAGUAAAGUUUAAACUAGCAAAAUUUGUAAUGGUGGGAAGCCAGCUCAUAACUAUUUAAGUAUUAAUAUAGGGAAGAAAUGCUUGAAAUUGUUAUUGAUGCUUUUUUUGAAAGAGAAGUACUCAAAUGCUAUUUUGACCUUAGCUUCUCUGGUUAGGAAAGUGAUCUUCUGAACUGGAAAGGGCAGGAAGGAAAUAAAGAUCAAGAGAUUAUAAGCCUAGAAAUUCUAAAAUGAAUUUGUUUCCUCUUCCUAGAUAAUUCUAUCUCAAUGUGGAAAAUCUUCAUAGGACAGAAUGCCACACCAAUUAAAGAACUUUUACCUUUAACUUCAUUCAGUUAUUACCUUUAUAUUUGUUGAAUAUCAAAUGCAUGAAGACACGUUUACUGUACGUUUCUAUGAGAAACAUAGUAUGAUAUGGCUCUAAAUGUAAUAUUAAUAAUAUAAUUUGCACUAAAAGUAGUGCAGAUUAUUUUCCUUGUUUUCCAAACGAGGGAGAGAAGGGAAUCCCUUGCCUCCGCAAUGAUGAGACAUCUUCUCAGACUUAGCCUGAGUUAUGUGAAAAAGGCUACACUUCACAAGGGGCUUCGAUAAGUGCUUCUGUUGUCUGUAUCUUGACCACCAUCUGAGGGUUUAUGAGUUAGCUUAGAGAGCAUUAGGAAUAGGUUUUCACAGGUGAAGUGUGUGACUUGUAUAUUAUAAAUAUUAUCUCCUUGGUGAAAAGUAUUCAAAAUAUGUGGAUUGGCUAAAACAUUGGAGAAAUAUUUCCUACUCUUACAUAAACAGGAGAGAAGAAUCUAGUGAAGGCAGCCUUCUUAGCAAUAAUUCUCGUGGACAGAUCCGUGAAAGUUGCUGUGGCCACCCAUUCAUUAGGAAGAUUUCUGUUUUGCUAAUGGUGAUUGAAUCUUGCAUCUGGAAUGUUCUCCUGUCUGCUUUAAAGGUGCUAAUAUGGGAAUGAUGGACAGAGAUGGAUUCCAUAGUGCUUAAAAAAAUUGUGAAUGAAUGUCUGUAGGCAGAAUUUGGUCUGAGACUUACCUGCAUUAUAAAUGGGUAAAAAGGUAGUGUGGGAAUGUCUAACCUUUGCAGUCUUUGCUAUGACUACUGUUAUCUACUGAAAAUGACCUAAGAGCUGUGCAACACCACACUGGCUUCAAUCUCUAUAGAGGUUUAUAAACCUCUUUUUUUCAUACUAAAAGUUGUUGAAACUUGGGUGUUUUUUUGUUUUGUUUUGUUUUGUUUUGUUUUAAAUGAGAGUUGCAACGUUUUUUUCAGGUUAUCUCUUGUUUUUUGUUUUUUUUUUUUUCUUUUUUGCCACACAGGCAGUAUGUGGGAAUUCCUGGGCCAGGGAUUGAACCUACACCGCACAGCAGCAACCAGAGCCACAGCGGUGAGAAUGCAGGAGCCUCAACCCGCUAGGCCAUCAAAGAACUCCCGGGUGUUUUUUUAAAAAAAUAUAUCUACUUAGAGCAUCUCAGUUGAGAUGUACACAUUUCCUUUGCUCCAUAGAAUAUGGCAGUGGUAUUGUGUGGGCCUGUACAACUCUCAUCUUUCAAGAACAAACUCAUUUUAGCCUUUUCCAAUGCUAACAGCAAUCUCUUCCUCCACCAAAUUCCAAUAACAUUUCUUUAGUACCAUUGUCAUGGGUUAGUCAUUUCUUUUAUUUACAAAUGGAGUUUCUUCAAAUUGACUGUGAAAUCCCUAAGGGCAGGAUUUGUCUUGAGUAUUUCCAGGCUUUUCCUCAGUGGGUCUAAGCAAUGUGUUCUGCCUGAUAAAUAAUUAUGUAUUUCUUCAUUUAGCAAUUACUUGAUAUUGGUUGGAAAAGGCAUCUGCAUAGUAUUUUUAAUAGGAUAAGUUUUUUGUGCUAGAGUUCUAGUUACACUAAGAAUGAAUAAUUAUAAAAGCUAUGCAGAAGCUAGAAAAUGUUUCUGAUAAGGUUACAAAUAAAAAGCAGGUACUAUACUAAACUGAGGCUAUGUUUCACUACAAUUAUGUAAAAAUAUUAAGAAUAAGCAUGGAAAGGUAAGAUUAAGGCAAAUAUAUUUUGAAGGGCUUAAAAUUUAUUCAUUCAUUAUUCUGGUGCAAUAAAUAAAAGUGAAAGAAAAGUUGUAAUAGUUAACAUUAUUGACCGCUUAUUAUUCUUAGUAACUUCACAGAUUAUCAAAAACUUAAUCAUCACUAUAAGCCCAUGAGCUAGGUAUUAUUAUCUUAUCCAUUUUUUUUCAGAUAAAAUGAACAGAAUGAUUAAGAAACUUGUUCAAGGUCCACAGCUAGGAAGUGGCAGCUGUGGUUUCUGUCCAAGUAUUUUAGGUGUCAGAGACCACACUCAUCACCUCUAUGUGAUCUGCCUCA